rnacentral:piRNA from 1 species
GUUCACUGAUGAGAGCAUUGUUCUGAGCCA